AUUGUGAGUACUACAAGUUUGGUAGCUAACUAAAUCGCUCUGUCGUCUUACCCUUUGAGAGAUUCUUGUGGAGCAGUUUGCUCAUUGAACCGGUUGCUUGCCACUUUUAUAACGGUCACUGUGUUUAACCUUUGGAAGGUUAGUGAAAUCGUAGGUAUCAUUACUGAACAGUGAUAUAUUUAGUAUUCGUUGGUCUAGACGAUAUCUAGACUUGUUGAUAUUGAAGUUGUGGAAACAGCUACAUCCACUUAAUUUCGUUGAAAACCGUUAAUCGUAUAACGGAACGUCGUCGGAGGUGACCUUGGUCUCACCUAGUCUACAUUGGACAGUUUGGUCUAGUGAAGCAGAGUACAACAGCAAACUUCGUCGUACUACCAGAGUAGCAGCAGAAGCAGUGAACUAUUUUAGAGAACCGUUAUUCGUCAGCCCAGAUCAAGUCAUCGUCAAGAAAGUCGUUAAUCGUCAGCCCAGAUCAAGUCAUCGUCAAGAAAGUCGUUAUUCGUCAGCCCAGAUCAAGUCAUCGUCAAGAAAUUCGUUAUUCGUCAGUCGUCCAGAUCAAGUUGCCGUCAAGAGACUGUUAUUUGUCAGUAGUCGUCUACACAAAUCAAGUCAUCGCCAGAAGAACCGUUAACCUAUUCGUCAGUAACUGUGUACACAAAGUCGUCGGAACUACACAUACGGUCAUCAACAGUCGUCGAAGAAACUGAAACAUUUUGCUGUGGCAUAUCAAGACAUCUGUGGCAUUACGUGGGAUACUCGACACGGAUUGUAUCCACUGGUAGCACCGGAGAACAGAGUCAGAACUGGAAGAGAGACAGUGGAAUUUGUUGUGAUCUAGCAUAUUCGGGAAUCCGAACAAAGGGAUCUUUCUUAUCAAAAGCUAAGUGCCAUUUUUCUUAUUAGUAUAUGUUUAGAUUGCCCUUAGAAAUAGAUUUUGUCUAAAUUUGGUAUGUUAGCCUGAGAUUCAGGUGGUGCGCCUUAAAACCCGUUCGGGGUAGAAGACAUAAUUUAGAUGAAAAGCUAUAUUAUACGUUUAGGAUUGUAAUUGUUUUGUUUGUGUAAACGUCAUAUCCGUUGUUGCUUGGUUACUUCGUGACGUUAUCAAUGUGUGCCAUAUUGUCAUAUCCCAACCCAUAGCGAUAGUCUCAUUUAAUUAUUUCAUUUGUGUAUAUUAUUUUAAAUUAUUUAUUUUUAUUAAUUUAAUUAGAUCUGUAUUUUUUUUUCACUUAAUGAUAGAGAGUACAGGUAGGAUUCGUUUACUGUGAAUCAGACUAAAAUAAUUUUAGUUUGAGCGGUUAAAAUCAAAUAUGAUUUUGCCAUGAGAAUAAUGCCGAAACUGGCUAUGUAGUCAAACACUGUCGUCUGGCUAAAUUUAGAUCUACAAAUUGUUGUACAUCUCUUUGGUACAAUUAAUCAUCUAGACUCUAAUUUGAGAAUAUUAUUAUUAAUUAAAAGAUGAAUGAAGAUUACUGCCAGUGAAGAACAUUUGUGAUGUAUGACGUGCCCAUAAGAUGCCACAUUUUCUUUCAUGAUGAACUGUGUACUAAUGAAGAUGAUUCUGGAAUGUUAUGAACAUUGACAUGAAUAUGAGGAACUGUCAAGUCAAGAUGAAGAUGUCAAGAUUUUAUGUUUGUUGUCUUCCCCCUAAAUUGAAAAUGCCCUUGUAAGACUUGACAGUAGUGGAAAAAUAUUGACAUUUUUUUUUUCAAGGGGGGGAGGAAUCUGUUAGACACCUUAUUUAUAUAGGUUAGUUAUUUAGCGACGCACCAUAGAAGACGCAUAUUGAACGGGACUAGUGACGUGUGGGAUAUGUUGGGUUAGAGACCGGAAAAUCAGUUAGCGAUAGAAUACUCCAGGGUAACGACGUGUUUAGUGACAGAGACUUCUACUGUGGCCUUUUAUCAGAAUAAAUCCAUAUGAACUUGUU